rnacentral:rRNA from 1 species
UUUCCCUCAGGAUAGCUGGCACUCGUUAAAACGAGUCUCAUCUGGUAAAGCGAAUGAUUAGAGGCCUUGGGGCCGAAACGACCUCAACCUAUUCUCAAACUUUAAAUGGGUGAGAUCUCUGGCUUGCUUGAACGUUGAAGCCAUGAGAUAUAUUUCUUGGAUCAGAGUGCCAAGUGGGCCAAUUUUGGUAAGCAGAACUGGCGCUGUGGGA